ensembl:snRNA U5 U5 spliceosomal RNA
UUACUCUGGUUUCUCUUCAUAACGCACAAGUCCUUUGCAUUUUACUACAGACUUCUGUGGAGAGUGACGCCAAGAAGUUUAGCCUGUUUUUGGCAGGCUUUGCUGUCUAGCAGAGUCA